rfam:Tetranychus urticae London genomic scaffold, scaffold_8
GUAGGUUAUGGUGAUAUCGUUCCCCUUGGAUUUUGGGGUAAAAUGGUUGGUUCCCUUUGUGCCAUUGCUGGGGUGCUAACCCUUGCCCUUCCGGUUCCAGUAAUUGUUUCUAAU